UACGGGAGGCAGCAGUGGGGAAUAUUGCACAAUGGGCGAAAGCCUGAUGCAGCUAUGCCGCGUGUAUGAAGAAGGCCUUAGGGUUGUAAAGUACUUUUCAUCGGGGAGGAAAAAACAAAAACUAAUAAUUUUAUUUUCUUGACGUUACCCGAAAAAGAAGCACCGGCUAACUCCGUGCCAGCAGCCGCGGUAAUACGGAGGGUGCUAGCGUUAAUCAGAAUUACUGGGCGUAAAGAGUACGUAGGUGGUUUUUUAAGUUCAGAUGUGAAAUCCCUGGGCUUAACCUAGGAACUGCAUUUUGAAACUGAAAUACUAGAGUAUCGUAGAGGGAGGUAGAAUUCUAGGUGUAGCGGUGAAAUGCGUAGAUAUCUGGAGGAAUACCUGUGGCGAAAGCGGCCUCCUAAACGAAUACUGACACUGAGGGUGCGAAAGCGUGGGGAGCAAACAGGGAUUAGAUACC
rnacentral:rRNA from 1 species